rnacentral:lncRNA from 1 species
GCCCACGGCGCCGGCGCAGGCCCAGGCUCCACUCCCCAGCUGUGAAAGGAAUGAAGAUAUAGAGAAACAAGGAAGAAAUUAACCCCGACAAAGAAAAAAGUGCCAAGAAAAAGCAUUUGGAUAAGAAGAGAAAAUUGAAGGAGAUGUUUGAUGUGGAAUAUGAUGAAGGAGAAAGCACAUAUUUUGAUGAUCUUAAAGGAGAAAUGCAGAAACAAGCACAGGUGAUCAGUGGCCUGUGUGGCUUAUGGACACACCAGAGUUCCCAGGGGAAGUGAUCUGAAAACUCAUCCUGGUCAGAGUUCAGAAGGACAUGUGGAGUAUAAGGUCAGAUGCGG